AAAGACUCAAAUUAAUAAAAUCGGCCCAAAGGGUGGUUAAAAACAAAGAUAAAGAUAAAUAGAACUAAAAACCAACUACGUUGUCGCACACAAUAGUUUUUAAAAAUACAGCAUCGAAAGUAGUUCUACUAAAAUAAACUUGAACCCACGACAGCUAGGGCCCAAACUGGGAUUAGAUACCCCACUAUGCCUAACCAUAAACUUUGAUUUAUCCGCCAGAGUACUACGAGCAACA
rnacentral:rRNA from 1 species